rnacentral:rRNA from 1 species
GACGAACGCUGGCGGCGUGCUUAACACAUGCAAGUCGAACGAUGAUCUGGGUGCUUGCACCUGGGGAUUAGUGGCGAACGGGUGAGUAACACGUGAGUAACCUGCCCUGGACUCUGGGAUAACCCCGAGAAAUCGGAGCUAAUACCGGAUAGGACCUGGAACCGCAUGGUUUUGGGUGGAAAGUUUUUCGGUCUGGGAUGGACUCGCGGCCUAUCAGCUUGUUGGUGAGGUAAUGGCUCACCAAGGCGUCGACGGGUAGCCGGCCUGAGAGGGUGACCGGCCACACUGGGACUGAGACACGGCCCAGACUCCUACGGGAGGCAGCAGUGGGGAAUAUUGCACAAUGGGCGCAAGCCUGAUGCAGCAACGCCGCGUGAGGGAUGACGGCCUUCGGGUUGUAAACCUCUUUUAGUAGGGAAGAAGGGCUUCGGCUUGACGGUACCUGCAGAAAAAGCACCGGCUAACUACGUGCCAGCAGCCGCGGUAAUACGUAGGGUGCGAGCGUUGUCCGGAAUUAUUGGGCGUAAAGAGCUCGUAGGCGGUUUGUCACGUCUGCUGUGAAAUCCCGAGGCUCAACCUCGGGCCUGCAGUGGGUACGGGCAGACUGGAGUGCGGUAGGGGAGAAUGGAAUUCCUGGUGUAGCGGUGGAAUGCGCAGAUAUCAGGAGGAACACCGAUGGCGAAGGCAGUUCUCUGGGCCGUAACUGACGCUGAGGAGCGAAAGCGUGGGGAGCGAACAGGAUUAGAUACCCUGGUAGUCCACGCCGUAACGUUGGGCGCUAGAUGUGGGGACUUUCACGUCUCUGUGCCGCAGCUAACGCAUUAGCGCCCGCUGNNGUACGNGCAGGCUAAA